UUGGACCGGAUAUCAGGCAAGAUACCCGCGAACUA
rnacentral:rRNA from 1 species